AAUGCAAUUUGAAAAAGAAGGAUUUAAAUAUUGAAUUACAUCAUUCGGUUACUGAUUGUGAAGUAAACAAUAGCAUAUUAAUAGAUUUUAAAAAUGAAUAUAUUUGGUGUUGUGGAAUGUUACAAAAAAAUGGCCACUGUUUGUAUACAAGAGACUUUUAUGCAGAAAUACAACAUCGCCUAUUAAAAAGUGUUAAUGGAACUAGAAGUGGGACUAUACAUACCUGUAGCUGUCUUGGUCUCGUUGGUGGUCUUGAAGUUCAUGUUCUACCUACUAUUUGGAUAGUAUUAGAGCUACUUCUAAUUUUACCAGUCAAAAGCAUUUAAGGACUGAGAGCUAGUUACUUUUAUAAGUUGAUUUAUUAAAAACUCGAGUUAUUGUGCUUCGCUUAUACAAUGUAACACACAAACUUUUUCGACUGUUUAUCACAAAGAAGUAUCUCAUCAUUGUUAUUAUGAAGUCUGUAUAAAUAAGAAGAUGGUAUGAAGUAAUUACUGUGAAGAUAAAAGGUUAACUUCGUAUUUUUUAUUUGAAAUGUAAAUUAACAUGUACGGUUUAGUUUUAGGCCUCAUUCACAUACAACUGUGAAUUUGUAUUGUAAAAAUUUGCACAAGUAGAUUUAAUGAUUUGAAAUAACAGUACAUAUAAUACCUUUGUAGACAUGGCUUUGUUUUUAUUGGUUGGAUUGCAAAACUAUUUGCAGAUUUAAAGUCCAUGUCAUUUUUGGAAUUAAGUUGCCUUAUUAUAAGAUCAUGGAUCAAGAGGAUAAGAGAAAAGAAUCUCUCAAAAAUAAGCAAGCACAGUGUUUUACUUCCAGUGGGUAUAUUUCAUUUAACUGACGUCCAUUUUUGAAUCUACUUGUAGAUUUGAUUCUACAUAUUUUACGCAUGGAAUGAUGAAUUUAAUUAAU